rnacentral:rRNA from 1 species
UUCCUACGGGAGGCAGCAGUGGGGGAUAUUGCACAAUGGGGGGAACCCUGAUGCAGCGACGCCGCGUGGGUGAAGGAGCGUUUCGGCGCGUAAAGCCCUAUCGGCAGGGAAGAAGAUGACGGUACCUGACCAAGAAGCCCCGGCUAACUACGUGCCAGCAGCCGCGGUAAUACGUAGGGGGCAAGCGUUAUCCGGAUUUACUGGGUGUAAAGGGAGCGUAGACGGUGCAGCAAGUCUGAUGUGAAAGGUCGGGGCCCAACCCCGGGACUGCAUUGGAAACUGUUGAACUGGAGUACAGGAGAGGG